rnacentral:lncRNA from 1 species
UCAGUUCCGUAAAUUGGCUAAAACCAUGGAGACGGCUGCGAUUGUCGUGGUCACCCCUGAGACACUGGCUGCUGUGCAUAUGUGUUCCAUUACCUGCCCCGUCCGUAAAGACAUGAAGUACUUUGCAGCUAAUCUUCCUUACAGAUGAAAUGAGUACUGCUCAGAGCUGGACCAAAGCAGCUGUCGAUCCUUUGCCUCUUUGCACUUUGGAGCCCAGUCCUGAUGGGACCAGGUGUCAGAGCCCUGCCAAAUCUGUGAGAAGGGUGGAAGCAAGUUUCCCUGAGGGAAAAAAAAACAACAAAAAAAAACCUUCUGGAAUUGGGAAAAAUUUAGGUCAACAUCAUUUGAACCUUGACCUCUUGCUCUUUUGUCCCCGGGUGGACAUUUCCUUGACCUCCAGAAAUUCCUCCACCUCAAGGGAAGACUUCUUGCCCCCCUCACUUCCAGAGGCCUCCAAAGUGGGCUGGGAAGAGAUUUAAAGCAGGACCCUGGGAAGCAUGAUGAGACUCUGGAGUGUAGAGAGGCUUCCCUGCAAUGCAAAGAUCUUCAAAGGCCAAGCCCAAGGCACUGCAACCCCCAGGAGGGCCCACUCCAAAGCAGAACAGUGGAGGGAGAGCCUGCGUGUCAAGAAGCCUGGACAGCAAGACCCCCUACUGUGGCAGCCAGCCUGCUUGUAGGAGUCCUGAGAAGCCUAAUUCAAUUACCCUUAUCAGAAUGUCUCUGAACUUAACAAAGCAGAUAAUGAGUUCCAGAGACAGAUACUGCUUGGGGGGCCAAAAUUAUUUUGCUUCCCCAAAUUGGAGGCUGAAAUUGGAGAUGUUUGAAUAAUGGAAAACAUAAUCCUUCCCUAGGCCCAACCCCCUCCCAGUACCCACACCUGAGACACCCUUUCAACCAAGGAGCCUGGAUUCAACAUCCAUGCCGUCUCUCCUCCUGAAGACACCUGGUCAUGAACUCGACCUCUUUCCCCCACCAUCUUUGUGCCAUCGAUGGAAGGAAGCUGCGUACAGGAUGGAAGUGGGAGGGGAAAGGGAUUAACAUUUAUGGAGCCCUCCCCUCUAUGUGUCAGCUACAUAACACAUAGCAUUCAUUUCAACCACAGAACAUAUGUCUUUACAUUACAGAAGGCAACGGAGAACUGGAAAAGUUAACUUACUGCCUGAGGACCCAUCCCCAUCUCACCAGCAGCACAGUCAGAUUCAGACACAGGUAUUCAACUUUGCAACACACUGUGCCUCACGGCCUGUGUGCUCAACAUCAGAAAUCAAAUAGAAACUCCCUCAUUCUAAGAUUCAUAGCCAUCCUCCGAGAUAUGACAUAGCGACCUCUCCUCCGUGAACAGGGAAACAGACUGAGAGGAUAACCUAACUCUCCCAAGGCCAGAGUAUCCACUGGGAUAUGCAGCCAAGUCAGCCAGCAGUUGAAACAAGGGCUCUCUGUGCUAUCUCACAUCUGAAUUGAAUUGUUUCCUACAGACUUCUCAUAGCUCUCUAGGCAAGGAAUACAUCUUCUCACCUUCCCACACUAAGAAAGGCCUCUGUCUGAGCCUGGGUGCCGGGUGGCCAGGAUUCCUGCUGAACGUUCAGGAGCUUUCCAUCUCCAGAGGUGAGCUCCUAGUUCCUGCUUACCUUAGAACUGUAGAACAUAUAAUGUUACCACUGAAAAGAACCUCUCGUAUAGUUGGAUCACACCCUUUACCUAUUUAUUUAAAUGUACUGUUUUAAUUAUGUAACAUUUGAUAUGUGCAGGAUAAUAUGUAUGCAAAUUAUAAAGCAUAAUAAUAAAACCUGUGAACCCACCACUCAACCUUAGAACCAGACCAUUACAAUUGAUGUCCCUCCUACUUCCCCAACAGAAAUAACCACUGUCCGGGACUUUAUGUUUAUAGCCCCACCCCCCACAAUGAUUUUUAUAGUUUUGCCAAAUAUGUUAGCAUGGUAGAUUGCAUUAUUGCUCUGAGUUAAAUAUCCUUCCUUUGACAUAUAAUUUGGCAGUUCCUUCCAUUGGAAGUGAAAUACAUUUCUCUGCCCAAGAUGUUAGAUUUGCUUUGGUCAGUAGAAUGUUGCAGGCUGUGACGGUGAAAAUUCUGAGCCCAGGCCUUAAGAGGAAUCACCUGUUUCCACAUUCCCCACUUGUAUUUCUGCCUCUGCCAUGAGAAAAACAUGCUUCAGGUCACCUGCUGCUCCAAGGAGGAUGAGAGACCUAUGGGGAAGACCUGGACCCAAUCUGAAGUUAGAACUAAGUGCAACUGAGCCCAGCCUGGAUUAACCAACUCCCAGCCAAUCCACAGACACCUGGGUAAGAAUACAUGAAUGUUGUCAGCCACUGAGUUUUGGAGUCAUUUGUUAGGCAGCAUUAUUGUGGCAAUAGCUGACUGAUAUACUAUGUAUCCCUGAACAGCAUAUUGUUUACUUUUGCUUUUUUUUUUAGCUUUGA